CUUAGUAUAUUAACGGCGAACGGCUCAGUAAUGUUGCGAUGAUUUAGUCUUUUUAAAAUAAAAUAACCACGGUAAGCUGUGGCUAAUAAUAAAGAAUAAGUCGCAACCCUAUCAGUUAGUUGGUAGUGUAAAGGACUACCAAGACAAUGACGGGUGACGGGAAAUUAGGGUUUUAUUCCGGAGAGGGAGCCUGAGAGAUGGCUCCCACGUCCAAGGACGGCAGCAGGCGCGAAAAUUGCCCACUCUUUUAAGAGGAGGCAGUUAUGAGACGUUUAAAAAAAAAGAAAAUUUUAAAAAGAUAUAAAAGAAUUGGAGGGCAAGUUUGGUGCCAGCAGCCGCGGUAAUACCGACUCCAAGAGUGUCUAUGGUGGAUGCUGCAGUUAAAAAGUCCGUAGUUGUUAAGAAUGCAAUUAAAGAAUUUAGAUAAAAUAAGUUUAGUUUGUUAAGUAUAGCGAAACGGGUAGAGUAUAUAGUAUAGAUAGGCGAGAGAUGAAAUAACCAAGACCCUAUCUGGACUAACAGAGGCGAAAGCGAUAUACUUAAACGAAUUUUAGGAUCAAGGACGAAGGCUGGAGGAUCGAAAGUGAUUAGAUACCGCUGUAGUUCCAGCAGUAAACGAUGCCGACAAGUAAGAUACGAAAGAAGUAUUUACUGUGAGAAAUCAUAGUUUUCGGGCUCUGGGGAUAGUACGCUCGCAAGGGUGAAACUUAAAGUGAAAUUGACGGAACUACACUACCAGGAGUGGAUUG
rnacentral:rRNA from 1 species